UUAACGGCUAGCCGGGAGCAACCUGCUGGUAGUGGCGAACGGGUGAGUAAUAUAUCGGAACGUGCCCAGAUCGUGGGGGAUAACUGCAGCGAAAGCUGUGCUAAUACCGCAUACGAUCUACGGAUGAAAGUCGGGGGAUCGCAAGACCUCGCGCGAUUGGAGCGGCCGAUAUCAGAUUAGCUAGUUGGUGGGGUAAAGGCCCACCAAGGCGACGAUCUGUAGCUGGUCUGAGAGGACGACCAGCCACACUGGAACUGAGACACGGUCCAGACUCCUACGGGAGGCAGCAGUGGGGAAUUUUGGACAAUGGGCGCAAGCCUGAUCCAGCAAUGCCGCGUGCAGGAUGAAGGCCUUCGGGUUGUAAACUGCUUUUGUACGGAACGAAACGGUGAGCUCUAAUAAAGUUUGCUAAUGACGGUACCGUAAGAAUAAGCACCGGCUAACUACGUGCCAGCAGCCGCGGUAAUACGUAGGGUGCGAGCGUUAAUCGGAAUUACUGGGCGUAAAGCGUGCGCAGGCGGUUAUGUAAGACAGAUGUGAAAUCCCCGGGCUCAACCUGGGACCUGCAUUUGUGACUGCAUAGCUAGAGUACGGUAAGGGGGAUGGAAUUCCGCGUGUAGCAGUGAAUGCGUAAAUAUGCGGAGGAAACAACCGAUUGCAGAAAGGCAAAUCCCCUGAACUGUUCCUGACGCUCAUGCCACGAAACGCGUGGGGGACAAAACAGGAUUAAUUCCCUGGUUAUUCACGCCCUUACGAUUUCACUGGUGUGGGGUCUCACUGGACUCAAACAAAU
rnacentral:rRNA from 1 species